GGAAAGAUAACCUACGUGGAAAAAUAAGUUAAGGUCAAAAUCUUCCACUAAUGUAUACAAUCAAAAAUAUAAAAAUAAAAUCCAUAUUUUAGCACUACUUUAGGGGUGAGAACAUCAAUUUUAACAUCAGUAUAUUGGCAUUCCAUUAUCUCGUACAAAAAAUAGGUGACAAGGACCUUAAAAAUCUAAAUCAAAAUGUUGAGGCUAUCUUUUGGAUGCUUGUGCAACUGCCUAAAACUGCUUGUUAAAAGAGAUCUUAGCUGGAUAAAUUAGACGCUGUUUUAGGUUAACAGUUGUCAUAAUGUCUACAAAAAUGGUUUAAGAUGAC
rnacentral:misc_RNA from 1 species